rnacentral:rRNA from 1 species
AGCGAACGCUGGCGGCGUGCCUAACACAUGCAAGUCGAACGUGAAAGGGAGCAAUCCCAAGUAAAGUGGCGUACGGGUGAGUAACACGUAGGUAAUCUACCCCAGAAUCUGGAAUAACCGGCCGAAAGGCUGGCUAAUACUGGAUAGAGCGACGGAAUCCGUAAUUGGGUUUUUCGGGAAAGGGAGCCUGUAAAAAGGCCUUCGUUCUGGGAUGAGCCUGCGUCCCAUCAGCUAGUUGGUGAGGUAAAAGCUUACCAAGGCAAUGACGGGUAGCUGGUCUGAGAGGACGAUCAGCCACACUGGAACUGAAACACGGUCCAGACUCCUACGGGAGGCAGCAGUGGGGAAUCUUGCGCAAUGGACGAAAGUCUGACGCAGCAACGCCGCGUGAGUGAGGAAGGCCUUCGGGUUGUAAAGCUCUGUCGAGUGGGACGAAAAUGCUUGGAGUUCACAGCUCCAGGAACUGACGGUACCACUAAAGGAAGCACCGGCUAACUCCGUG